CAGGAUUAGAAAUACAUUAUGUGCACAGAAAAAUCAUUUCAGCACUGCAAUAUUCCAUAAAAAAUAAUAACUGUCAACUUUAAUUUCAUGGUGACUAUGAAAUAAACAGUAAUCUUUAAUCUGACUGUAAGUGCUGUAGAGUAUAAUGAUACUAACUCUAGUUUCUCCAGCUUGAAUUGUGUGUUCAUCAGUAGAUCACUGAGGUGUUUCACUCCAGAGUCUCCUAGUAGUUCAUUCCAGCUCAGGUUCAGUUCUCUCAGGUGUGAUGGGUUUGAUUUCAGAGCUGAAGUCAGGAUGAGACACUGUUUCUCUGUAAUACUGCAU